UUCUGUACGACUGGCGGAAAGAUACGCAUUGCGUGUUGUGGGAGAUACCCACAGGGAGUACAGAUUGUUAAAGAUAAGCCGACCGCCUGGGCGACCA
rnacentral:ncRNA from 1 species